rnacentral:misc_RNA from 2 species
AACGCACAUUGCGCCCGCCAGUAUUCUGGCGGGCAUGCCUGUUCGAGCGUCAUUUCAACCCUCAAGCCCCCGGGCUUGGUGUUGGGGCUCGGCCCGUCCUCGUGGCGCGCCGUCCCCGAAAUCUAGUGGCGGUCUCGCGAUAGCCUCCUCUGCGUAGUAGCAAUAUCUCGCACCGGGACUGAGCAAGGCCACGCCGUUAAACCCCCCACUUCUGAAAGGUUGACCUCGGAUCAGGUAGGAAUACCCGCUGAACUUAA